rnacentral:rRNA from 1 species
AUUGAACGCUGGCGGCAGGCUUAACACAUGCAAGUCGAGCGGGGGAAGGUGCUUCGGUCCUGACCUUAGCGGCGGACGGGUGAGUAAUGCUUAGGAAUCUGCCCAUUAGUGGGGGACAACAUCUCGAAAGGGAUGCUAAUACCGCAUACGUCCUACGGGAGAAAGCAGGGGCUCACUUGUGACCUUGCGCUAAUAGAUGAGCCUAAGUCGGAUUAGCUAGUUGGUGGGGUAAAGGCCUACCAAGGCGACGAUCUGUAGCGGGUCUGAGAGGAUGAUCCGCCACACUGGGACUGAGACACGGCCCAGACUCCUACGGGAGGCAGCAGUGGGGAAUAUUGGACAAUGGGGGGAACCCUGAUCCAGCCAUGCCGCGUGUGUGAAGAAGGCCUUAUGGUUGUAAAGCACUUUAAGCGAGGAGGAGGCUCUUUUGGUUAAUACCCAAGAUGAGUGGACGUUACUCGCAGAAUAAGCACCGGCUAACUCUGUGCCAGCCGCCGCCGUAA